AGUGAACGCUAGCGGUAGGCCUAACACAUGCAAGUCGAACGGCAGCACAGUAAGAGCUUGCUCUUACGGGUGGCGAGUGGCGGACGGGUGAGGAAUACAUCGGAAUCUACUUUUUCGUGGGGGAUAACGUAGGGAAACUUACGCUAAUACCGCAUACGACCUACGGGUGAAAGCAGGGGAUCUUCGGACCUUGCGCGAUUGAAUGAGCCGAUGUCGGAUUAGCUAGUUGGCGGGGUAAAGGCCCACCAAGGCGACGAUCCGUAGCUGGUCUGAGAGGAUGAUCAGCCACACUGGAACUGAGACACGGUCCAGACUCCUACGGGAGGCAGCAGUGGGGAAUAUUGGACAAUGGGCGCAAGCCUGAUCCAGCCAUACUGCGUGGGUGAAGAAGGCCUUCGGGUUGUAAAGCCCUUUUGUUGGGAAAGAAAAGCAGCAGGUUAAUACCCCGCUGUUCUGACGGUACCCAAAGAAUAAGCACCGGCUAACUUCGUG
rnacentral:rRNA from 1 species